AUGAACGCUAGCUACAGGCUUAACACAUGCAAGUCGAGGGGCAGCAUGAACUUAGCUUGCUAAGUUUGAUGGCGACCGGCGCACGGGUGAGUAACACGUAUCCAACCUGCCGAUGACUCGGGGAUAGCCUUUCGAAAGAAAGAUUAAUACCCGAUGGCAUAGUUCUUCCGCAUGGUGGAACUAUUAAAGAAUUUCGGUCAUCGAUGGGGAUGCGUUCCAUUAGGUUGUUGGCGGGGUAACGGCCCACCAAGCCUUCGAUGGAUAGGGGUUCUGAGAGGAAGGUCCCCCACAUUGGAACUGAGACACGGUCCAAACUCCUACGGGAGGCAGCAGUGAGGAAUAUUGGUCAAUGGACGAGAGUCUGAACCAGCCAAGUAGCGUGAAGGAUGACUGCCCUAUGGGUUGUAAACUUCUUUUAUACGGGAAUAAAGUGAGGCACGCGUGCCUUUUUGUAUGUACCGUAUGAAUAAGGAUCGGCUAACUCCGUGCCAGCAGCCGCGGUAAUACGGAGGAUCCGAGCGUUAUCCGGAUUUAUUGGGUUUAAAGGGAGCGUAGGCGGACGCUUAAGUCAGUUGUGAAAGUUUGCGGCUCAACCGUAAAAUUGCAGUUGAUACUGGGUGUCUUGAGUACAGUAGAGGCAGGCGGAAUUCGUGGUGUAGCGGUGAAAUGCUUAGAUAUCACGAAGAACUCCGAUUGCGAAGGCAGCCUGCUGGACUGUAACUGACGCUGAUGCUCGAAAGUGUGGGUAUCAAACAGGAUUAGAUACCCUGGUAGUCCACACAGUAAACGAUGAAUACUCGCUGUUUGCGAUAUACAGUAAGCGGCCAAGCGAAAGCGUUAAGUAUUCCACCUGGGGAGUACGCCGGCAACGGUGCAACUCAAAGGAAUUCACGGGGGCCCGCACAAUCGGAGGAACAUGUGGUUUAAUUCGAUGAUACGCGAGGAACCUUACCCGGGCUCAAACGCACGACGGCGGCACGUGAAAGCGUGCUUACCUACGGGACGUUGUGCGAGGUGCUGCAUGGUUGUCGUCAGCUCGUGCCGUGAGGUGUCGGCUUAAGUGCCAUAACGAGCGCAACCCUUAUCGAUAGUUACCAUCAGGUUAUGCUGGGGACUCUGUCGAGACUGCCGUCGUAAGAUGUGAGGAAGGUGGGGAUGACGUCAAAUCAGCACGGCCCUUACGUCCGGGGCUACACACGUGUUACAAUGGGGGGUACAGAAGGCAGCUACACGGCGACGUGAUGCUAAUCCCGAAAGCCUCUCUCAGUUCGGAUUGGAGUCUGCAACCCGACUCCAUGAAGCUGGAUUCGCUAGUAAUCGCGCAUCAGCCACGGCGCGGUGAAUACGUUCCCGGGCCUUGUACACACCGCCCGUCAAGCCAUGAAAGCCGGGGGUACCUGAAGUGCGUAACCGCGAGGAGCGCCCUAGGGUAAAACUGGUGAUUGGGGCU
rnacentral:rRNA from 1 species